UUUUUAAUUGGAAGCUUGAAUGAAUGAUUGGACGAGAAAAAAACUGUUUCUAAAAUAAGAUUUGAAUUUAAUUUUUAAGUUAAAAAGCUUAAAUAAACUAGGGGGACGAUAAGACCCUAUAGAUCUUUAUAUAAAAAAAAAAGUUAGUGUAAGUAGAUUGUAAGAUUGAAGUUUAUAUUAUAUUUGAUUGGGGCGAUAAUAUUAUAAAUAUAAAUACCUAGUUUAAAGUAAAACCUUUUUGAGGUUUAUAAAUGAUCCUUAAUAAAGAUUAAAAGAUUAAGUUACCUUAGGGAUAACAGCAUAAUUUCUUUUAAGAGUUCGUAUCGAAGGAGAAGAUUGUGACCUCGAUGUUUAAUUAGAAUUUCUUAUCUGCAGCAGGUAUAA
rnacentral:rRNA from 1 species